GUUGGUACUUGCGCAACGGAAGCAUGGUGGGCCCAUAACCCACAGGUCCUAGGAUUGAAACCUGGCUCUGAUACCAACU